rnacentral:rRNA from 1 species
AAAUUUUUUUUAUCCAGGAGUAAGAUUUCCUCAUUGAAGAACUUGAUCGUCAUCUAUAACACAGCCCUUCCUGCUCCUCGUCCUCGUAACCAAGUCUAAAAGAGACAGUCGGAACACAAACAAAUAGCUAAUAACCGAACUGUACUUCUAACUAGUCAUACAAAAGGUUCGAUGUACCGUACAACGUUGCGAGAAGCCUCAGUUUGGGAACCCUACCAGGGAGUUUGUACUACCAGAUCGAUAAUGUUUAAUUGGUUCUAGUCGUCCUGAUUCUUUUAUGUAUAAACUGUGAUAAACUCUACCAGGGAGUUUGUCGGUGAGGCGGUGUGGACGGCUGGGGACACGUCGUGUGGGUGGGGACGCGAGCCGGUGGCACCGCCGCCGCCGGGCCGAGGUCGCACGGCCGCCGGCACCGCCUCCGGGGCCUCCGCCAGCAGCCCCGCCCGCCGCGCUCCACCCUCGGCUACCCGCGCACCCUCAUGAUGCUGAUGGCCGCCCGGUAGAUGCCGCUGUAGUGCGUGUUCCGGUAGGAGCAACUGCGGCGGCCGUGGUAGGAGCGGGGGUGGCUCAGGUACCGGGUCCACAUGUCUUGUCAUCCGCUUUUCAUACCCCACUUCAUGAGCCUCCUACUCUAGAACUACUCCUGGAGCUCCGGAGCCUCUCGGGGAGGCUUGUUCUGCGCGUGUCCUCGAGACGGAACUGCCCCUUUCGUCGCCUCAACCACGUCACCGCUUACACCCGCCCCAGCCGGCACCUCCCUCUGAACGACCAGUCUCGUCGUCCUCGUUCUUCCAACUCCGCCAAGUCCCGUUCUGUUCUUGUAAAUCAACCUAGGUCUCAUAACUCUAACGUCUCCUGAGUUGUUUCCUUUAACUUACGUAUAUUCCUAGCUCCUGGAAAUGUAACCUACGUACUACUACUAGUAGGUGGCUCGUCGUGUAGUAGAACCUUUUCGUCUACGCUUAAAGACGAUCCAAACGAAGAGGCCAACAGGGAGGGUAGUUGAGAGAGUCGAGGGUUUGGUAAUUGGGGCAGGACCAACAAGGAUAUAAAAGAAAAACAAAACAAAAAUGGUUACGUGAAAAGAACUGUACAAAAUCACACAAGGAAGGAUGCCGGUCGAGCUGGUAAACGAGGCGUCCCUCAAAAAUCGAGUCUUCCUCGUUUAUUAAACUCUUACGUAACCAGAAAAGACGUUAGACAACAAGGAUUCAGUAUUGAACAAGGAAAAGAAAAAGAAUCGACGUACAAAAGUAGGUUCAGUCUUAAAAAUACACGUGAACUCUUGAUUGGUACGAACAUGUCUCUGUAUAUUAUGUCGUGUAAGCAAGGUAUCCAUCCACAUCCCAAUUGGUUAUUAUUAACGGAGGAAAAAUAAAAGAUUUUGAAUGUAAGCUUUAUACAGGGAAAUCCCCCAGGGGAUCUCACAUGUUG